rnacentral:lncRNA from 1 species
GCUUGUUCACGUAUGGUCUAAUUGAAAAUCCAAUAAUUCUGAUGAGUUGGCUCUACUGCAGUUUGGUUGACAUAGUGUAUCAAAUUAAAUUGUUUUCAACUUGUAUCCUUAGACGAGUAAAAUUGGAAUGUAGCCACUUGUAGAUAGCCUUCCUUUUGAGAUGAAGUGAAAUUAGCCUGCCUUCCUUUUGAGAUGAAGUGAAAUUAGCCUGCCUUCCUAUUGAGAUGAAGUAAAAUCUUGCAAGAUAUCAUUGUAUUUGUGUAUGUACACUAAAAUUUAAUUCUCUUUGCUUGCUUGCCUAGCCUCAGAAAUGGAAAGCCA